rfam:Lactobacillus equigenerosi DSM 18793 = JCM 14505 strain DSM 18793 NODE_53, whole genome shotgun sequence.
UGAUUAAAUAUGACUCGACCUAAGACUCAGGCGACUAUGAUAGUCUUAAUUUUGCCUGCCGAGGAAGAAACGUGUAAAUGUUCUUCUCUAUGUCUGCUUGUCAUAGGGAUUUUUUUAAAUCCAA